rnacentral:rRNA from 1 species
GAGAUUCCUGUACUCCGUAUAAACAGAACUGUGGGGACACGGGUGGAAAGCCUGACCCGGGAAUGGAAAGACCGGGACAAGCGAGGUACCUGAUAAGGAGGCAAAUCCCCUUAUCAAUGGGAAGACGUGAUGUGGAGCGAACCAAAGGGUAGCGAAGCAGGUGAGCCAGCCGUCGAGAAAAGCCGCUAUUGUUUUGUACGGACCCGUACCGUAAACCGACACAGGUGGAUGAGGAGAGAAUCCUAAGGCCGACGGGAGAAGCAUUGUUAAGGAACUCGGCAAAAUGACCCCGUAACUUCGGGAGAAGGGGUGCCUGAGGAAUCAGGCCGCAGAGAAUAGGUCCAAGCAACUGUUUAGCAAAAACACAGGUCUAUGCGAAACCGAAAGGUGAAGUAUAUGGGCUGACGCCUGCCCGGUGCUGGAAGGUUACGAGGAGUGCUUAGAGGCUUGCCUCGAAGGUGCGAAUUUAAGCCCCAGUAAACGGCGGCCGUAACUAUAACGGUCCUAAGGUAGCGAAAUUCCUUGUCGGGUAAGUUCCGACCCGCACGAAAGGCGUAAUGAUUU